UGGCUAAAUCCGACAACCAAUAAUCGUUGCGUCCACGGCUUUUAGUCGAAUAGAGGAGUUCAUAGACUUUCCCAGAGGAUCUGUGCUAUUCGGGAUCCUUGGGGUGUUCCUACCUCUAUCAAGUAUAAAUGUAAAAUGGUUAGGUUUAGAGUAAGGACGUCCCAAGGAAUCCGGAUAGCAGUGACCUUCCACAGAGUGAGAGACUGUCACGAUAUUUGAGAGCUCGGCAGCGACACAGACAUUCAUUUGUUUGAUUUUUUUUUUUUUUUACAGGCGGCAGAAGCGAUUUUCGAGUGUCUGCCCCAGAUAGUUUCCUUAGAAACUAUGAAAAAUAAUUACCAAGAUGUCCUUGAUCCAAUUGAGGAGACCCGACUGGCGAGGCCACCUCCAAGGCGAUGAUGUCUUCAACACCCAUGGUUCUCCUGAGGUCAUCUUGAGUGACCGAGGUCGUGUACUCUGGAACAAGUUUGGAUGAACGGACCAACCACACCCUCUAGACUGCCAUGGGCAAGGCCUUGACGGGUUCCAGGAAUGGUGGCAGAACAACCUGAAGGUAAUUAUCUUUGCACCCAACAUUAGCGUCCAAGCCUCCAGAGUACUCACCCUUUUGCCUACAGUACGGACGGGGUCCGCAGCUAUUUACUGAGGUAAACAAUGCAUUUGUAUAUAAAAGUAUUGCCUAUACUGUAGUAUAAAAAAUGUGUGAUUGACUUUUUCUAUUGCUUUUUGUAUAACGUACUUUUGAGAUCACUGAUACUCCACCUGAUGUGGUGGAAGUUGUCGAACCAGAUCAGAACGCCUUCAAGGACCACCUUCAGGCACGGACUGAGAAGAAUGUAAAGGUUUUUGACCAGUCACGGUGAGACUGAACAUGGACAAGGUAUAUGAGGAAAAAGGAGAGCCACCGGAGGAGAAUCAAGGGGACCAAGUGCUUCGACAUCCGGGCAAAUUACUUGGCUUGGAAGAAGGGCGAAAGGAAGACGAGACCUGGGAGAGCUUGGCGCUCUUUCGCUCCUAGCUGGGCUCACCAUCCGUUAAGGGACCAUCCCUUACCAACCCCACUGACAUCAAAAAUGAGAUGGGACCUAGGGGUUCUGCCUAACACCCAGACGUGGAUCCACCUGAUGUCCUCCAUUACCAACCACUGUCCAACUUUUCAUUACAUCAGCUACUGUUAUUGUCAAGUUGUCAUUAUCUGCCAAGAAAAAGCAAGAAAACUAUCAUCCAGGGCACAUAAUGUGAGCUGCACAGGUUAGCUAAAAACACUAGCACUGCAAACACUCAGAACCAAGAGGGCAGCAGCGCCUGGACUUUGCAGUUUCCCUCAUUGAGUCCACCUUCCAAGACUUACUACCUGUUGAAAACAAGUGACAGGCAGAACCUCUCAUCCAAACAGCACCCACCUCCUCUCUAUUCCACACACCAGAAUUCAGUAUUUCAGUCUGAUUGCCAUGUGAGUGUACAAAAAAUCUGAAAGUAAAUUGACACAUGUACCAAUGAAAUAUCAACGUUUAUGUAUUUAAAUCUAAAUUAUUGCUAGAUUGUUUUUCACAACUGUUUCAUAAGGUGUUUGUUAUUGUGAAUUGUAACGUAUCCCUUGAUGGUAUUUGUUCCACAUUAUUAAUGGUUGUAUCGUAAGACAUACAAUAGAUAUAGUCAACCACAAGGGUGUACUAAUGAGCUAUGUUUUUUUUUAUCAUAAUAGAGGACUAAUAUUAUUUCAGUGUAGAUAAGGGAAGGCCUGUUUAAAAUGAAAACAUGCCAGCCAGACAAGCCAGUGUGUGAAUCAAAUGUAUUUGCAUAUGAAUAGGGUGCAAAUUAGCUGACUUUGUGAUCUGUAAGGUAAGUAACAAUGUGGUAAUUGGUAACAAAUAUGAAGUGGGGGAAGUCAGGAUCCUAGUCAGGCUUUUGUUUGUCAAAUCCUGAUUAAAUAUAGGUCUUCAUGUUUUUUUUAAUGUUUUAUUUAACCGUUAUUUAAAUGUGUAUCAAAUCUGUAAGAAAUUGUGGGUCUAAAUCAAUGACAAACCGCUGAAAUGCUCAGGAUCUGUGAUCAAAACAGGCUGGGGUGUUUUCGGUUCCGUUUAGUAUACGGAUAUGCAUCUGCACCUAAAUGAAUAGCCUGACUCAAUGGGAUUCUCCUGAAUAAAAAAUGUUUUUAUCUGUUAAGCUGUUUUGUCUGGAUUUUCAGGAGCUUCUGUAUCAUGUUUUCUAUUUGUAUGGAAAACGUGAUACCUAUUUUGACAUUGUUUUAUUAGGUCAUCAACACCAUGGUGUGGUCCCAAACUGCUUCAGUAAAAGUGUGUUCAAUGCCUGCCUUCCUGUUAUUUUCCAAAGUUUAGACUUCCUGCAACCUACUUUAAUAA